UUGCACUAACUCAGUCUACAAAGUGAUUUGAGUAAUUUGAUGCAUACAUAUAUACAUAUAUAUAUGUACAUAUUUAGUGUAAUAUGACACUAUCGCAUACUUGAAUUCAAAAACCUUUGAAGACUGCAUGAAAGUGCGCGCCUCAGCAAAUAAACACAACUUGAGCACAUUAACUCCUACUAUAACUACAUAUAUCUUUUAAUAUUUUAAGCAUUAUACGCUUAAUUUGGAAUUAAAGAAGUCGGCGCAUUGACAUUAACUAGUCAUUUAAUAUACUGCGGACUCGUCAAAAACAUCAUUUUAUUUAAAGACUACAAUUCACCAAUAGUUAUCACUUCUAUUUAUGUACGUUAGAGCGUCUAGCGUUAUCAACGGUACUCGUGCAAGAUAAUUUCAAACACGCCAAGGAGGCUUGCUCACACAAUAAAAAUUAGUAACAAUUAACCGUUGGAAUUGUUCACAUUGGAGCGGCAUAACGUAGACGAGCAGCGAUGGCACCGAAAAUUGACAAGGAGCUGCUGCCGAUGAAGGGGCAUUAUUUCUUUUUCAAUGCAGGAACGGCGCCGGUAAUGCCUUUUAUGCCCACAUUGGCGCGUCAAUUAGGCUUCUCUACAGUGGUCAUUGGUACUAUGUAUACAAUUUUGCCCAUUGUUGGCAUGCUUGCCAAGCCGCUUUUUGGAUUCAUUGCUGAUCGCUACCAACGCCAUCGCACACUUUUCCUCAUCGGCGAAGUGCUCACCGCUAUAGCCUUUUUCCUCAUACAAUUCACACCAACUAUUCCACAAGCACUGCCCACGAUGGAAUUUAAUUGUCACGGCGGCGCAUCCACGCUAAAAUACUAUUCCGAAUUUGAUAAGUGCAUAGAAAACAAUCUAGAGAGUUACUAUGGUGAUCGGGUGCUAACGUGUCAGUUAUAUUGCCAAGCAGAUCCAGAAAAAAUGGAUUUCGUUUGUGAUAAUUGGUUGCACAACAAUAGUACAACCAAUAACAACAAAAACGUUACUUGUCCCGAUCGCAACAGCCCCCAACUAAAUUUCACCACUUUUCUGGACAUGAGUAAAAUGGAGAUGCCAGGUGAUCAUUUAUUCUUUGUCAUACCACACGAUAGAGGUCAAAUGAAUGGUGAAAAUAUAACACUAAAUUGUCCAUAUGAUAAACCGUUAUUCAAUACAAGCUGUAACAUAGAAUGCAAUGAUGAUUAUUUCCAAAGUGAAUUAACACAAAACACAGCGAUCAGUAAUGCUGAUGUGUGGGGUAUGCAUCAGUUUUGGUAUUUCUUCAUUAUGCUCAUCGUAAGUUGGAUCGGUAUGGCGGUGGUGGUGAGCAUUGGUGAUGCGAUAUGCUUUUCAAUACUGGGCGAUCGUCAUCAUUUAUAUGGCAAGCAAAGGUUAUAUGGUUCCAUUGGUUUUGGUGUGUUCUCCAUUAUUGCCGGUGUGCUGGUGGAUCAAAUGUCGCACGGUAGCGUAAAUAAAGACUAUACAGUCGUAUUUUGGAUGACAUUGGUUAUAAUAGGUUUCGAUUUGGUCGCGUCUACCAAGUUAAAGCAUACGCAAACACACCUCUCUCCCAACAUACUCAAAGAUGUUGGCAAAAUGUUUCUCUCCAUUCGUUGUGUGAUCUUCUUUAUUUGGUGUAUCUCGAUUGGCCUUUGCACGGCGCUCGUUUGGAAUUUUCUCUUCAUGCAUUUGGAUGAGUUGGGUGAAAAACUGGAGGGUUGUCAGAAUUCCAUGAAGACACUGGAAGGCAUAGCCAUGGGUAUACAAAGUUUUGGCGGUGAAUUGCCCUUUUUCUUCCUCUCCGGCUGGAUAUUGCGUAAGAUUGGUCAUAUAAAUUCUAUGAGUUUAGUGCUUUUUGCUUUCGGUGUGCGUUUCAUACUCUAUUCGCUGUUGGUCGAUCCAUGGUGGGUAUUACCCAUUGAAAUGCUAAACGGUGUCACAUUCGGUAUUUUCUACGCCACCAUGGCUUCGUAUGCCAGUAUUGUGGCACCUCGCGGCACUGAGGCGACUAUGCAGGGCUUAGUCGGUGCCAUUUUUGAAGGUGUGGGUGUAUCUAUGGGCAGCCUUAUCGCGGGUAAUUUAUUUGCCGCUGUCAGCGGCAGUGGCACUUUCCUAAUUUUCGGCAUUUUCGCCUUUAUUGCAUUUAUCGUGCAUGUGUUGGUGCAGUGGCAUUUGCAGCGCACUGGGCAAGGCGAUGCCGAUGCUAAUGGUAAGCAAACGGUUAUAGUAGACAAUGUUAUACCGGAAGUGAAACAUUUACCUGAAGAAGACGGUAAAAUUUGGACUGUAGAUGCAACGAACUCAAAGGGUGUUGCCGCUGAGUUCACAGAUGUUGACUUAAGCUGAAUUUAAAGCGUGAAGAAAGUGUGUAUGAAGACAAUUUGGUACUCAAAAAGAACUUUUGGUGUAAAUAAUAAUUUUAAAGUAGUGAACUUGCUAUUUACGCGUUAUUGUUCACCAUAAAAGUUUUUAUACAUAAUUUGCAAUAGGGUUAAUUGCACACUAAUAGCGCUUUUAGCUACAUAUCGUGUGGCCUUAUUUAAGAUUUUUGAUUAUUGAAAAGCAAGGUCAACUGUAAAUUUAAAGAAAAUUUAUAAUUGAAAAACGAGGUCAGCUGUUCAGUACUAUAAAGAAAAUAACUCAGUGUUUUUCAGUGUAGUCAUAUAAUAAGUGCUCAAAUGACUGUCCGAACAGUUUUUUAUUCCAAAAAAAUUCAUCAAAUUUCAAACUAACUGUUAUUAAAAAUCAGUAAUUAGUGACUUCUCUCAAGGUUUUUGGUAUUUUUAUACAAAAAAUGUCAAUUUUAAUAAAUGAAAUUUAAUUACAUUAAAACUGUAAAAGAUUUCCUAAAGUAGAAAAGGCAUACAAAAUGCUCGUGCGCCAGUAUAAAAAUGGCAAUUCCGACAAUAUCAAUAUCAGGCGCUGUUAAAUAUUUGACGCCCAAUGAUGCAAUGCAUAUGCUCAACGAUCCAGAAUACAGUAUUGUCCCAUAAAUAAGUGAUUCGAUUACAUUAGAGAUGCUAAACAACUGUUUAACAGUUUUUUCUGGCGUUAACAGUCUUGCAGUGUACCGGUAUUUUAUAUGGCUGAGGAACGUGUUUUAGCUACCUGCACUUGCUUUGAAGUUUUAAUUUUACCCUGAGCUGUGAACAUUUUCAACUUGUUGCGUACUUAUUAGGCGUGGCAAUUACACGCAGCUAACGCGAAAGCCGUGUACCAACUCAGUUAAUAGAACAACAUAGUAUUUAUAUGUUAUAAAAUAGUUAAAAUUUGUAAGUUAGCUGUUAUUUUUGUGGCAUGCUUGGUGCUCUUUCACUAUUUUUUUGUUUUUGUUUCAAGCAAAGCAUUUUUGUGUUUUAAAUAUCAAUACAAGAGGCAUUAUUUUGUUCUAUACUUAGUGUUUACAAACUAUGUUAGUAUAAAAAGUUUUAAAAUAUUGGUUAUGUUGUAUUAAUUAAGCAAUUAGUAAUUAAAAUAAUCUUACAAAUGUCAAAACUGCUUUAAGUGCACAAAGCUUUAGGUUAGUGCUAACUAGUAUUCUUCAUGCUUGCUUAGUUAAUUACUGUGUUAAUGUGUUUUUCUGAAUGUACUCUUAAUUGAAAUAGUGUUUCUGUUUACAAAAUACUUACGAUAUGUGCAAUUGGCUUGUAAUCGCUAAAUACAUAUCUACAUCUGUAAUAUUUAAUAUUUUCUAUAAUUAUUUAGUUAUCUUUAAUUGGUAAACAAUUGUGUGAGAUAAUUUUACUACCGUCAUUCGUUGCUGCAAAACCAAAGCAUUUGAAUUUUGUGCACAAAUUUUUUAAUGGGCACAAAAACUUAAAAAAAAGAAAAUUAAAUUAAAUUUGUUAGCAUUAUAGUAUUUUUAAACAUGCAUUAUUUAUAGCUUAAGCAUAAAUUGUAUACGAUAAGGCAUGGCGCUCAAGGGCAUUAUUUUUCUUUCAAUUAUUUGUAUUCAUGUAUAUUUAAUAUAAAAUAUAUAAAAUUUUACUUUUUAACUAAAAUAA